rnacentral:sRNA from 1 species
GUUUUGCGUGAGUGAUGGAAGUGGAGCUCUUUUUUUGUCCUGUUUUUUUACGGGACAAAAAAAAGCGGGAACGUACAGCACGACCCGCA